UACCCAUCCAGAGCGGCUAAGAGAUCUGGCUCGACGACGCCGCAGCAACCCCACACCGUUGUGCAGGUGCUACCGCCAGAACCGAUGGAAA
rnacentral:ncRNA from 2 species